rnacentral:ncRNA from 1 species
CAAAGGCUUGGUCCUGACUUUACUAUCAGCUUUAGCCCAAUUUACACAUGCAAGCCUCCACGACCCUGUGAGAAUGCCCUCAAUCCCCCACCCGGGGACAAGGAGCAGGUAUCAGGCACAACUAUUUUUUAGCCCAAGACGCCUUGCCUUCGCCACACCCUCAAGGGUAAUCAGCAGUGAUAAACAUUAAGCCAUAAGUGAAAACUUGACUUAGUUAAGGCCACCCACGGGCCGGUAAAACUCGUGCCAGCCACCGCGGUUAUACGAGAGGCCCUAGUUGAUACGCUCGGCGUAAAGAGUGGUUAUGGAAACAAUAUAACAAUAAAGCUAAAGACCCCUCAAGCAGUCAUACGCUCCCAGGGACUCGAAAAACCAGCACGAAAGUCGCUUUACCCUUACUUACCUGAACCCACGACAGCCGGGAAACAAACUGGGAUUAGAUACCCCACUAUGCCCCGCCGUAAACCUUGAUGUAUAAACACAACAAACAUCCGCCAGGGAACUACGAGCGUUAGCUUAAAACCCAAAGGACUUGGCGGUGCUUCAAACCCCCCUAGAGGAGCCUGUUCUAGAACCGAUAACCCCCGUUCAACCUCACCAUUUCUAGCUUUAUUCCGCCUAUAUACCGCCGUCGCCAGCUUACCCUAUGAAGGCAUUACAGUAAGCAAAAUAGGCACACCCUAAAACGUCAGGUCGAGGUGUAGCACACGAAAUGGAAAGAAAUGGGCUACAUUAUCUGAAUCAGAUCAUCAACAAACGGUCCACUGAAACAAAAGACCCGAAGGUGGAUUUAGCAGUAAAAAGGGAAUAGAGCGCCCUUUUGAAGCCGGCCCUGAAGCGCGCACACACCGCCCGUCACUCUCCCCAACAACCAACCCAAUCAAGUACUAUAACAAAACACACAACAAUAAGGGGAGGCAAGUCGUAACAUGGUAAGUGUACCGGAAGGUGCACUUGGGACAAC